UCCCCUCCUGCUCCUUUCCACUUUCCAGCACUCAGGAGUAAUCACAAUGUGAUUUCUAACACCGAAGAUCAGGGCUUCGGUCCUUGCAUUGUAUACAGAUGGAGUCAUACAUUGUAUGUUCUUUCACAGCGGACUGCCUUUGCCCUCCAUUGACGGUGAGGUUCAUCCAUGGUGUGGUGUGGAUGGUAGAAUUCUAAGACAGUCUCCAAGAUUCCUCAUCCUCUCUUGGACUCACAUCCUCUCCCAGAUGUCUUGUUCAUCUAGGUGCUGAUGUAAAGGCAUUUUGCAGAUGUCACUGAGGCCCAAAUCAGUUGGCUUUAAGAGAUGGAGAUUGUUCUCAGUGGGCCUGAUCACAUGAGCCAUUAACAAGGAUGGGGCUCUUCCUGGAGAAAGAGGAAUGAAGCGUGAGCGGGACUGACACAAGGGAAAUUCCUCAUGGUUGGUUUUGAAGACCGAAGGUUCCACAUGGCAAAGGAUGCUGAUGGCCUCUAGGAGCUGGGAUUGGCCCCUGGCUGACAAGCAGCAAGGAAAUGGGGCCCACAGUCCUCCAGUUACAAAAAGGAGCCUCAGUUCUGCCAAUAACCCGAAUGAGCUUGGAAGAGGUUCUUGAGCUCCAGCACCUGCACCUGAACUUCAGCCUGUGAAGCCCUCAGCAGAGAACCCAGCUGCCCCAGGCCCAGAUUUAAGACUUACACCUCUGUGAGCCGGUCAGUGCAUCAGUUAAGGUCUUUGGACUAAAACAACAGGAAACAGAAAUGUAUUAUCCUACAUAUCAGAACAACUAGAGCUCUUCUGCCGCCAGUAGCCUACUCUGCUGUGUUAACGCCCCAAGGGCUGGAGACCCCGUUCUCCAGUGUAUUGGCCACUUCCUGGCUUCCUUCCUACUUCGUUCAGACCCCAUGGCUCUCCCCACUGCUGGAGAAAACAACACAGUCGUCCUGACAGGCAGCGGUGUGGACUUGUGGCUUCCGGCCCCACUGAACCCCUACACUCUGGACAAGGCCAAGUCCCUCUCUUUUGCAUGCCUCAUGGCAAUUCUUUCAAGUAUUUGAUCACUCGCCUGAGACACUCUUUCCACCCCUAUUCCUGUCAGAAGGUCUUGUCUCCUGUCCUCCCUCUCAUCUGUCCCUCUCAUGCCUCUGAAGCUGCUCCAGCUCCAACCAGGGGAUGACAGCCACCCAGGCGACAGCAGACCUGCUCUUUCCCUGAGCCGCACAACAGCGCUCAGCACACAUUCAGUGGAAACAAAUGGUGAGCGUGAAGGCACUGGUAACUGACGGCUCAAUCUGGGCACGUGCUCUCGAGAUGCACUGUAACCAGAGCCCCCAGUGCCUCAUCCAUUGGAGGCCCCAGGCAGGCUGGCCGGGGCCAUCUCAGGGACAGGGCCCCCCAGCACCCUUCAGUACCUCCUCUCAGCCCCCGAUGGGCCUCGGAAUGGAGAGAGCUCCCCCUGCAGGAAGCUCAGCAUCGGGGUCCAUCAGCCCCCUCCACCAGGAUGCUUAGGGCAGCCCCCAGGCUCAGUCCCCGCUGGCAGGUGGGCACAGGGCACACCAUCCACCUCACAAAAGAGGGAAAGAACCUCGAGGGAGAAGGCCACAUUCAGGGGAUGGUGUCAUAGUCUUACAAAAAACCUGCCCCCUUUGCAUUCUGACUGCUGGUAAGGGGCAGUCAGGGUGCUGACGUCCCUGGGUUUAGGGACUGACUGAGAUCACCACCCCACUCUUCAGCAAGCAGAGAGGAAGUGAGAGGAGAGCUGGCAGUCAAAGCCCUCUGCUCCCCCCU